AUUUAAGGGUGGAAUUGCUAGAGGUGCCAACUUCAAGUAUUGCAUCUCAAAUUUUUCCAUCAAAUGAAAUUGAUGAAGACACCUCAUAACCCUCCACCUCUUCAAUAUUAAUUUCUCUAGCAAACAUAAUUUGGAUCAAUGGAAAAUCAAAGCCAAACCCUUGUUUAUGCAAAGUGCCGAAGGUUUCAUCACUUUCACCAUGACAAUGGAACUCCCACCACGGCAAACUCCAUAGAUCAACCAUCCGGCCACCAAUUUCAGAGAUUUCAGCUCGGUUGUGAAGCCAACAUCUAGGGAUCAAGGUGAUAGUAUUUGAAGAGAUGGACUUCCAUUCUUGUUUCGGAAGUCUGCAAUAUAUAAAGUAUGUAUUGAAGUACGCUUCAAUUCGUAGCGCUGCCGUAGUCAGUAGAUGUCAGUCUAUAUUUGAUUGUUUAUAUCAAACAAGGUCCAGCUGUUAACUCUGAUUUUAUAAUCUAUACAUACACGGUUUAUAAAACUAUGUUUUUACCAGUUUGAUAUUUUCACCAAUUGUGUAUGAAUGAAAUUGGUAUGAAAUUGUUUGACUCGGAACAAGGCAAUGCUGAGUUAUGUUAUCGCAGAGUAAGACCUUGGUUCCUAUCGAUUAUGCAUCGGUUUUCAAAGAACGGUUUCGACGUAUAUGAAAUAUUGUUUUACGA